rnacentral:tRNA from 1 species
GCGUCUGUAGCUCAGUGGCGACGCGCCUGUCUGUUAAACAAGGAGGGCUGGGGUUCGAACCCCUGACUAGCGCG